rnacentral:ncRNA from 2 species
AAGAUGGGUCCGGGAGAGACCGCUUCAAUGCGGCGCCGAAGGUGAAGUCGCGAUAAACUCUCAGGCAAAAGAACCGGAUUCGGACG